rnacentral:antisense_RNA from 1 species
CUUUAUGGUGGCUGUGCACGGAGCGCAUUUCGGUGCGCACCGGGGUCCCUAGUACCCGGCGACUAAUCCGCGCACGGCCACCACCCUU